rnacentral:lncRNA from 1 species
AAAAAAAAAACUGUCUUAAUCUUUCAAAUAUGGGUAAUUUAUUUUUAAUUUAAUAAUGUGCUUUUAUAUUUAUAUUCUUAAUAAUUUAUAUAUAAAAAAAAUCAAAUUAUUACUUCCACUCUUUCAUAAUUUUUAUUCACUUUACUUUUUCACACAUAUUAAAAAUUAUAUAAAUUUUUAUUAAUUUUUUAUUAUACCCAUUUUAAAAUACAUUAAGUAAUAAAUAUUUUAGAGAUUUAUUGAAAAUAAAAUAAAAUAAAAUAGAAUUAUAAUAGUGGAUUUCUAUAUUACUAUAAUUUUAAAAAAAUAUUUGAGAUAAAUAAAAAAAUAGAUAAAAUUAUGAAUUUUUAGGAUUAAAUUUAUAAUAUAUAGUCUAGUCCCAUUAUCUAUUACAGAAGCAUUUAAUUAACAACGGCCACAAAAAAAAUAUCUAUGUUAUUUUCAACUUUCUAGAAAAGAAAUUUCUUCAUUGCAAACGUAGACAUAUCAAACUACAGACAGUAAACUCCUAUGAAAAAAAAAAUAUAAAAUUUAACAGCGAUUGUGAUAAGCAUAUCGGUAAGGAUAUGCAUUGCAGGAAAAUUUAGAUAUGAUUGACAGCGGCAGCUAUAUUCGGAGUUGUAUAAAUAUACAUCCAAAGCUAAGCUUCCAUAUCACAAAAUCAUAUAAUAGAAAUCUGUCCUUUUUUCCAUGGAUCCAAGCAAGGUAAUACUUCGGGUCCAUUUCUUGAUUUUCUGUAAGCCUUUGCAUUAUUUUGCAUGUAAAAAUCAUGAGAGUUUAUGAGAUCAUUAAACUCGAACUUCUUGGUAAUCUCAGAAGAAAAUCAAUAUCCAUGCAAUAGUUUAGCAGGUUUUUUUCAUGUUGUGAUCAAGCUGAUAACUUUGUUUUGAUCUUUUCUGGGUACAGUUCAUUCCAUCAAGCGCCAACAAUACUCCCUUCUGGACAACUGAUGCUGGUGCUCCAGUAUGGAACAACAACUCCUCCAUGACUGUUGGAACCAGAGGUAAUUUUUGGUUCAUGAUAAUGUUCAUCAUGUCCUUGUGGAUGUCGAAUCUUAUGUUUUAGCUAUGGCUUUGAUCUCGUUUGGUUGCAGGUCCAAUCCUUCUGGAAGACUAUCAUAUGAUAGAGAAACUUGCCAACUUUACCAGAGAGAGGAUUCCAGAGCGUGUUGUCCAUGCCAGGGGAAUGAGUGCAAAAGGUUUCUUUGAAGUCACCAAUGAUUUCACUCACCUUACUUGUGCUGAUUUCCUUCGAGCCCCUGGAGUUCAGACUCCUGUCAUCGUUCGUUUCUCCACUGUCAUCCAUGAGCGUGGCAGCCCUGAAACCCUCAGGGAUCCUCGAGGUUUUGCCACCAAGUUUUACACCAGAGAGGUGAGCGAUUUUGUCAUCUUGUGUUAUUAUUACUGCUUCUCUUAUUAAUUUUCCUGUUUUACUGCUUUAUAACUUGACAGGGUAACUUCGAUAUUGUGGGAAACAAUUUCCCUGUCUUCUUCAUCCGUGAUGGAAUCAAAUUCCCAGAUGUGAUUCAUGCAUUUAAGCCAAAUCCCAAGUCUCACAUCCAAGAAUACUGGAGGAUCUUUGACUUCUUAUCACACCACCCUGAGAGCUUGAGCACUUUCGCUUGGUUCUUUGAUGAUGUUGGGAUUCCUCAAGAUUACAGACACAUGGAAGGCUUUGGUGUUCACACUUUUACUUUCAUCAACAAGGCUGGAAAAGUAACCUAUGUGAAAUUUCACUGGAAACCCACUUUGGGAGUCAAGUGUUUGAUGGAUGAUGAGGCACAGAAGAUUGGAGGUGUCAACCACAGCCAUGCUACGCAAGAUCUGUAUGAUUCCAUUGCUGCUGGCAACUAUCCUGAGUGGAAACUAUUUAUUCAGACAAUGGAUCCAGCUGAUGAAGACAAAUUUGACUUUGAUCCACUUGAUAUGACUAAGAUCUGGCCUGAGGAUAUGUUUCCUCUGCAGCAACUUGGGCGUCUGGUGUUGAACAGGAACAUCGAUAACUGGUUUGCUGAGAAUGAGAUGCUUGCGUUCGAUCCUGGUCAUGUGGUUCCUGGGAUUCACUAUUCAAAUGACAAGCUGUUCCAGCUUAGGACAUUUGCUUAUGCUGAUACUCAGAGGCACCGUCUCGGACCCAACUACAAGAUGCUGCCUGUUAAUGCUCCCAAGUGUAAUUAUCACAACAAUCACUAUGAUGGUUUCAUGAAUUUCAUGCACAGAGAUGAGGAGGUAGACAUAACCCUUGAUUUCUCUCUCAGAUUAAGAUUUUCUUUUCUGGGAAAUUAAGUUCCCGUUCUGAUGAGAUUCCGUUUUCUCAGGUGGAUUACUUUCCAUCUAGGUAUGACCCAGUUCGCCAUGCGGAGAGAACCCCACUUCCUCAUGCUAUUAUCAGUGGAAGACGUGAGAAGGUCAGUUUCUUUGUUCGUCUUCAUCGUUGAUUUUUCUGCUAAACAUAUAAAUUUGCUCAUUUUUGUUGAUUUUUCAUGCAGUGCGUCAUUGAGAAGGAGAACAAUUUCAAGCAGCCUGGAGAUAGAUACAGAUCUUGGACUCCUGACAGGUAAAUAAAUUAACCUGUGGUUCUGCCAUUGCAAGCUUCUUAAUUACUGAAAGAUGAUUCGUCUUACAAUUGAUUUUUCUUUUUUUCAGACAAGAAAGAUUCCUCUGUAGAUUGGUUAACGCCUUAUCAGACCCUCGCAUCACCCAUGAGAUUCGCAGUAUCUGGGUCUCAUACUGGUCUCAGGUUAUUAAUCAGACUCCGACCAUCAUUCCAUUAAUUCGAUUUCUUGCAUUUUGCACAAGGUUAUCUAAUCCUGGAUUAAUUUUCUUAUGACAUGCAGUGCGACAAAUCUCUUGGUCAGAAGCUUGCAUCUCGUCUCAACGUGAGGCCAAAUUUCUAAAGUCUAAAGGUGGCGAGUUCUCAGGAAGAGAGAAAACGACAAUACUAUUGUUAAUUUCCAGUUUCCUGUGUUGUACAAAUACUAUAAAAAUAAACGCUUUUUAAGAUUAUCUAAUAAAUAUGGGAGAGAUUAUCAGUUCGCAUGUUGUUCAUCUAAAACUGCUAAUGUAAUUUCAAUGUUUCUCUGUAACUCCCUGUGUUCACUGCAACAACAACUUUAAAUUAGUAGAAAACUCGGUUCAAGCUCAAGCACCAGAGAAAACUUCAAUGAAAACUUCCUGCAACAUCAAAUUCAUGCAACAAAUGUUAAUCACCUCCCUAAUCGGGACCUAAUCUGCAGGUACGCUUUCUCCAACAGCUACUGCAAACUCGACUUCAUAUAAAAAAGAAAAAAAAAAAAAGACAGUGUAAUGAAUUUGAAAAUUAUUCAUUUAAUAUAUAAUUGUUGUAUGUUUACUGCAAGAGGGAAGAAGCUGGCAGUGGGAGGCAAUCAUGCUUUAUUCAGUUCUGGUCCACCAUCUCACCUUUCAGAAUUUGGAGGUCCAUCUCUGUCUCCCUCUCUCUCUUGAAUAAUUGAUGGAAUAAUUCCUACAACAAUGCUUAUUUAAUUAAAUCAGAUAAAAUUUAUCUAAAUUCCUCCACAUGAAUUUAAAAUAUAUAUUAAACUCACAUUUAUAUAUUUUAAAAUCAUAAUUAAUCUCCACUCACGGAUUUAACUUGAUGGUAAAUGCAUCUGAAUAAAUUUAAGAUGUUUCAGAUUCUAUUCUCUAGAUUACAAUCUCCAUUUCAAAAAAAAAUCAUAAUAAACCUAAUUCAUCUGAAAAAUUUAUCGAGUUACUGAAAAAAAAUUCUUCUAUUAUAAAUCCAAAACAUAUUAAUGUGGUUCCUAUAUAAUUUUUUGUAUGGAGUACCUACAUGUAUUUUGGGUCUACGCAUAUCAAAUCUAAAUAAAUUUUUUCGGAAUUAAAAAAUAUUUAAGACUUAAAAUACAAAAUUGUAUGUUUCAUUUAUGCAAAUUUUUUCUGAAAGGAUAUUUAUGUAUUUCGGGUUUAUAUUGACUGAAUUUAGAUAAGUUUUUUAUAGUUAUUUAAUUUUAAAGAAUAUAAAAUUUUUAUUUCAUUGAAUUUUAUUAAAAUAAAUUAUAAUUAAAUGGUUUUAUUAAUGACAAUUAAAAUUUAAUAGUUAAAUGGUUUUUUUUAACAGCAAGUGCAUGCUUUAUUUGGGGUAAUGCUUUAUUCAUCUCUACAUGAGCAACAAUCACCCAAGUAAGUUUUACCUUUGCUAAAUGUUAAAUUUUAUGUAUAUUUAGAUUGAAAUUUAUAUAUAAAAUAUGAAAUUUUGCUUUUUACCGUUGGGCCGAAUGCCCACGGCCAGCAUUGCUCUUGACCCAUUAGAAUUUGGGCCAAAUCUAAUCCUUAAUUAAAAAAACAAAAUAUGAAAUCAAAAAAUUAACAUCAUUAUAAAAAUUACUAUUUAAUACUUAUAAUUUAAUAAAAUUAAUUUAUGAGUACUUAUUUUUCAAAUAAUUAAUUACUUCCUCCUUUUAAUGCAAUGACUAAAUAGUUUAUAGAAGUAUUUACCAAUAAUUGUCAUUUUGAGCUUGGAUAUAAAUGGAAUAAUUGUGAUUUUUAAAUUAUAAAAAUUGAAAAUUUGUGUAUUGAAAUUGCAUGACUAAUUAAGUAUAGGAAUACUUUAGAUAUUUCAUACAUAAUAACUACUUAAAUAAAUAGAUAUACUAAUAAUUAUCAGUUUAAAAUAUAAAAAUUAAUUAAUAUUGAUGACGUUGAGUCAUCUGGGUCCUGGGUCCAUACCAGUGAAUAUUGUCCGCUUUGGCUCAAGGCCGCACGGUUUUGCUUAAAACGCGUCCACUGGGGUUUCAAGGGCAGAGACUUAUAAGGCCUUCUCCCUUUCAACCUCUUUCCGAUGUGGGAUACCUUUUUUAUCCACCCGCACAGGGGGCCUUCCCCCAUACAGGUCUGAGCGUGCUCGCUCAGCGCACCGUACUCGUGAGGACCAGGGUUAUGUUCCCCACAGACGGCGCCAUUUGAUGACGUUGAGUCAUCUGGGUCCUGAGUCCACACCAGUGAAUAUUGUCCGCUUUGGCUCAAGGCCGCACGGUUUUGCUUAAAACGCGUCCACUGGGGUUUCAAGGGCAAAGACUUAUAAGGCCUUCUCCCUUUCAACCUCUUUCCGAUGUGGGAUACCUUUUUGAUCCACCCGCACAGGGGGCCUUCCCCCAUACAGGCCUGAGCGUGCUCGCUCAGCGCACCGUACUCGUGAGGACCAGGGUUAUGUUUCCCACAGACGGCGCCAUUUUCCUCUUCCUGGUCCAUGAUAAAUCUGGUUUUCUUCUGGGUCCCUUCUUGCUGGGCUCCCUGGUGGAUCUCUCCACGUUCUUCCUGGUGAAGGGACCUGUAAAAUAAGAAAGAAUGGUCAGGGGCCUACCGGGUGUACCCCGGCAGAGGCCCUCCGACGCUCAAGUCAGAUUUUAUGGCUCAGAGUAGUAUAUUUGGGCAAGGGUUACAGAAAGAAUAAAAAUGGUGUCCAGGAAGGAAAAGGAAGAAGAGAGAGCCCCCUCUGCGUGGCUUCUACCGUGAUAUAUAUAUCUGUCUCUCUGCCACAAUGCUAGCUGUCUUCUGUCGCCUAGCUCCGUAUGUACGGAUGUGUCAGGCGCCUGCUCCAUGCGUAACGGCCAUUAAUUCUCCUCUGAUACGUAUGAUUCUCCUCUGAUACGCAUGCGGAAGGACCUACCAGCGGGACAUCUUGGUCAUUUUCCCCUUUUCGGGCUGGGUUGAAUGGUAGGGCUGAAGUUGAGCCUGGUGAGGGCCUGAUUACUGGGCCGAGAGGUUUGGGCCGGUUUGAUUGAGGAGUCUAGGCGGAGUCCGGCCCUGUGACUGAGCGGGCUGGACCUGGCUCUCGAGGGGAAUAUUGAAGCCUUUGGAUCAUGGACUGUUUUCAUGGGCCUGGCUUUUAGACCGGGGUGAAGAAAUCCAGCGAUCAUCAAUUAUAUUUUUAAAAGAUUUAUAUAUAAAAAAAAAUUUAAAUUUUUGUUAUUUUAUAAUUUAAUUUAAAAUUUUAAAAAUUAAUAAAAUUAUCUAAAAUUGUCAACUUUAUUACAGUUAUAUCCAAAUUUAAAACUUGAAUAGAAAAAUGUGUGUUUUAUUGGCACAGAUGAUAUGGAUUUUUUUAUUAUAUUUAUAUGUUUUGUAAAUAAAUGUUAUUAAUAAAAAAUUUAAGAGAAUCAAAAUUAUAAAAUAGAAAAAUAUCAUGACAUAAUAAUAUAAUUUUAGAGAUUUAGGAGCGUAAAAUGAUAAAUUUAAAGAUUUUAAAUUGAAAUAUAUAAAUUUUUAAAAUUUUUUAUUAAAUUAUAAAAUAAUUAAAAAUUUUAAAUUUUUAUAUUAAUAAAAUUUAUUUAUAUAGCACACGAGUAUAAUAAAAUAAUCCAUCUUAUUUUUUAGACAAUCUCUCUUAAUAAAAUUUUAAAUUUGAAUAUAAUUAUAGUAAAAUUUAUAAUUUUAAAAACUUUAUCAAUUUUUAAAAUUUUAAAUUAAAUUAUAAAAAAGAAAAAAAUUUAAUUUUUUCAUGUCGCUUUUCAAAAUGAAUAACUAGAUAAUUAAUUUACUAAACCACAUAUCUAUAUGUUAGAGUUUUAUGUUUGAAAUUACUUUCUUGUGAAAUAUUAUUUAAAAAAAUUUUAGAACUGUUUUAAGAUUAAAAUAUAUGUAUAUUUUAAUUAUAAAAUUUUAAAUUAAUAAAGUAAAUUUUUAAGAGAAUUUUAAAAUAUAAUUUUUACGGAGUAUUUUUUAAUUCUUAAAUAAAAUAAAAUGUUUUUUUUUUGAAUCAAAUAAAAUAAAAUGUUUUACCUUUCUGAUAUUUAAUAUAAUAAAAUAAAUUGUUUUGUUACAAAAUAAUCUCCAUCAUUAAAUUUAGUGUUGGAUUUGAAUUAAUUCAUUUGUUAAUAAAAUUUAAUUAAAGUUUUGAGAAUGUUUGAUUUAUAUAAAUAUUUUUUUGCUCAUUUUAGUCCUUACUCAAAUUCAAAAGACAGUAAAACCAUUCAUCCUUUGAAAAAAUAUUUAGAAUUUAGCGAACAACACAUUCAAAUAAACCCUCACAAAUUUAUUUUAAGAGAUUUUACUUUUCUAAUUUUUAAUUUUAUUUAAAAAAAAUCAAAUAAAACCAAAAAUCUAUGCCGGCAUUCCAUUCCAAUCACAACCAACACAACUAAACAAUAAUCUAGAAAUCAAAUUUUAAAAUUUAUUUUAUUAAAAUAUCGUAAUAAUUCUUAAUUUUAAUUAAAAUAAAUCCAUCUGGAAUGACAGAUUUUUACAAUUAAAAAUAACUUGAUCCAUUACAAAUUAAUCAUCAGCAAUAAACAAAAUAGCUUCGAAUAAACAUGAGAACUAUCAUAUCAUCAUAUUAGGCCAUCUCCAAUGCGGUGCACCAUUUUUUGCACCAUUUUAGUGCUUUGCAUUAAAAUGAUGCAAUAUUAUUUCCAACCUUUUGCAUCAAUUUUAAUAUCAAAAAAAGUAUUCUAUUUAUAUUCUUCUCUCUCUUUAAUAUUAUAUUAUUUAUUUUACUUUAAUUUUAUUUAUAUAUAUCACUCAAAAAAUUUAUAUAAUUUUAUAUAUUCACUCUAAAUAUUUAUAUAUUUUAUAUUUCCAUCCAAUAUUUAAAUAUUUAAUUAUUUUAUAAAUAAAUAAAUAAAAAUAUUAAUUAUAAAAAUAUAUUAAUUAAAUAAUAAUUAUAAAAAAACAUUACUUAAACAUUAAUUAUAAACAUAAAUUAAUUAAACAUUAAUUUAAUUAUAUUAUAAUUUAAAAAAAUAAAAAAAAAAAUAAAUUUUAAAUUAUAUUAUAAAUUUAAAAAAAAAAACCAAAAAAAAAAAUAACGUUGGAAUUCGCAGCGUUGGAGGGCGAUCUCCAACGCCAAAAUGAAGAUUGAUGCAGCGAUAGCUUCAUAAACAUUAGAAUAGUGAUUAAAAAAAGAUUAUUAUAAAAUCUAAAUUAAACUUUUCACUGUAGUGGGCCCAGGGCUAGGAAGCAACCUUUGUAGCUGAGCUGGCUUUCCAUUCGGAUAUUUCUCAUAAAAAUGAUCGAUUUUUAGCAGCUUUCAUAGAUUACCCCAUCAGUCUUUAUCCCCUUAAUUUGCAAAACUAUCCAUCUCUAACCAUUUUCGUGGGAUUAUGGCACACGCUUCAAGGCUACACAGACUAACGUGUUUUAUUGUCAUUGGUCCAUGUUCUUGCCGCUUGCGUACCUGGAUAAGGAAGAGGAACCAUUACUUGAUGACGUCCUCAAUUAUUUUAUUAAUUUCUUAGGCUUUUCCCAAUCCCAAACACUCCCCAAUCAGCUCACUCUCGAUUUUCUCACCACAUUGAAAUCCUGAUGUCGUACCUGGUCCCACUUCUCCUCUUACGGUGCGUAAAUAUCGUCGGACUUUCAAUUUCUCACGAAUUGUAAAUGCACCGAAAAUAUACUUUUAAGCUUACCAUAUUGAGUUUAUUUAGACUU